AAACCAUCAGAACUCGGAAGCUCUAAAAGACCCGUCUUCGGCUUCAUACACAGGUUUCUCUGUGAAGCACCUGGGAGGCGGCAAAGCUGAGCCUCGUGGAGGUGAGGGAGCAGCAGGUGAGGGCGGAGUGGAGAGCCGGUGGGCCAGGCUCCGGCGAGGAGGUCCUGGUAGCAGAGACCUCCGGGAAGGACUACUUUGUGAACCAGAUUACUCUUUGACGCAAUCUGCAAGGCGGACUGGUAUGCAAGCCCUGAACAUUCCAGAACCUUCUUACAGGUGUGGGUGCUAAAUGCUGUCUGCCAUGACUGCGGAGCGGCAGUGCCAGCAGCCGAAGAAGGGAGACGCUGAAAUUAGUAGUCUGACUAAGAGCCAAUGCCCUCUUCUUGUGACGCGUCAAGUGAUGACACUGGUUGGCAGCCCCUUCUUCUGGAGUCUGUAGCCGUUUUUCAGAACGGGCCUGUCAAGCCCUCUGAGAGAACAACCCCUGAAAGUGAUGAACCUGGGUCUUGUUCUGGCUCCAUUGUUUCCUGGGCUGGGUGGCUUUGGCUGAGCUGUUAAACAUUCCUUGGCUUGAAUUUCCUUCAUUGGGAACAAUACCUGUCCUGCCUGCCUCACAGGGUUUCUGGAAGAUCUGAUGAGAUAAUGAACCCAACCUCCAAAAAAAAAAAAAAAAACACCAUAAAGCACUCCUCAAACAGAAGAUUUCUCUACCUGCUGAAACAUGACAUCAUCUUUAGUGUUUAUCCACUACUGAAGAACAUGACCCAAAGUUGCCAAAUUACCAUUCCUGGGGUCUGGAGUCAAAGUGUCGUAAAAACCAAGCAUCUGCUUUUGGAAGGGCCCUUGAGGAACCCCUUUAUUUAUAGAGUUUCAACGUCUUCCCUAACCUUAUCCCAGACUCAGGUCAUUUUACAUCCUACAAUAAUUUUUUUUUUUUUGGGGGGGGGGUGGUAGGAAAUGCUAUUUUGGGAAGAAGUGGCUGCAUCUGUAUUAAAACUGUGCAGAGAGGUCAGCCUUAGUGCAAGAAAAUUUAUUAAGUGUUCUUUUAAUAACAGGAGGCCCCGCCAGAGCGGCUUAGUUGGUUGAGCGCUGUCCUGUGCACCGAAAGGUUGCCGGUUCAAUUCCCAGUCAGGGCACAUGCCUGGGUUGCAGGUUCCAUCCCUGGUUGGGGCACGUAUGGAAGGCAACUGAUCAAUGUUUCUCUCUCCCUCUCUCUUCUCCCUCCAAAAUAAAAAAUAUAUAUAUUU